GCCGUCGUAGACCGUGGUGGUCACCCUCCCAUGAUAUCGUGUUUAAUUUUCAGAAUCAAAAUGUGCAGAGGGGAUCAGAGGUUCGACUCCUCCCGGCGGCG